CUUGAACGCUGGCGGCAGGCCUAACACAUGCAUGUCGAAUGAGUGGCGGACGCGUGAGUAAUGUCUGGGAAACUGCCCGAUGGAGGGGGAUAAUUACUGGAAACGGUAGCUAAUACCGCAUACCAUCGGAUGUUCCCAGAUGGGAUGAGCUAGUAGGUGGGGUGAUGGCUCACCUAGGCGACGAUCCCUAGCUGGUCUGAGAGGAUGACCAGCCACACUGGGACUUGGACUCGGUCCAAGCGACUACGGUAGGGAGCAGUGGGGAAUAUUGCAAAAUGGAGGCAAACCUGAUGCAGCCAUGCCGCGUGUAUGAAGAAGGCCUUCGGGUUGUAAAGUAAUUUCGGCGCAGCGGCGUUACGCGCAGAAGAAGCACCGGCUAACUCCGUGCCAGCAGCCGCGGUAAUAC
rnacentral:rRNA from 1 species